rnacentral:piRNA from 1 species
UACUUAUUGGGUACAAUGCUCACUACCUGG